rnacentral:lncRNA from 1 species
GGGGGGGGGGGGGGGGGGGUGAAGGGGUGCAGGAAGAGGGCCAGCACUGCGUCAGGUGGUGGAAGCCCCUCGGUGCUCUGAGGUGGUGGCACGUGGUGAGGACAGAGCCCACAUGAGGUGGGCUGGGACAGUGGGUGAGAGGAGCGGGACAUGUGCAAGAAAUAAAUCCUGCGUUUAGGUGUAGAAAUUCCUAUGUAGAAGCUCACCGUGUCUACCUGCCACCUCUUGACUUCACUUGCUCCUCGCACUUUCAGAAGGUGUCAUCCCUAGAGCCGUGGCAGUUCUAACAGCAGGCAGUUAAAGCUGAACUUCCAGCGAUGGAUACGUGACACCUGCUGGUUUCCUCCAGUUCAGUGCUAAGAGCUCUAAUAUUAGAGUCAUUAGGGUUGGAGAAGCCCUCCAAGAUCACCUGGUCCAACCGUCCCCCUACCACCAAUGUCCCCACCAAGCCCUGUCCCCAAGCACCACGUCCACCCUCUCCUUGAACACCCCCAGGGACGGGGACUCCCCCACCUCCCUGGGCAACCCGUCCCAAGGCCUGACCGCUCUUGCUGAGCAGAAAUGUCUCCUCAUUGCCAACCUGAGCCUCCCCUGGCACAACUUUAAGACUGGCUUCACUGCUUGUUGCUAUCUGAGAAAAGCAAGAGCAGGUGCACAGGUUAGGCUUUGGAAAUGAACCAAUUGAAUGUAAUGGAUUUUGUUUAGCAUUUUCACAUCAAACAUGAAUGUAAGUAAAUAAGUAGCCUCUGUUAUGCCAGUAAGGAAGAGUAUUUAUCAUUUCAUGCAGCCCAGGCAGACAGUAAGAUCCGUGUUUGUCAUCGAAGGAAACCUCCUUAAAACUUGAUGAAUGGCUUCUAAGCGGAGGUGCAAAAUACUGUACUGGAAUGUAUUUUAAUUUCUGCCAAAUAUUUUGCAACUGAAGCACUCACACCACUGUGUACAGUGUGAGUUAGUUGAACGCUUAAACAGCAAAGAAAGUUUUGUACCUAGUUUUAUUCUAAAAUCUUUCUAAUUGCAUGGUGUUAUCCAAGCAGCACAGCUAUGCUGUGUGUUUUCAGGCAUCUGACCUCUUUUUUCUUUGUUCUUCUGCUCGUUCUUUGGAGUGAAUUUGCUGAGGAGCCAAACUCAUAGAUGGACUGAGGUGCGAAAUGCAGCCUCAGAUGGAGUUUGUAUCAAAGAGCUUGGGUCCAGUCAUUUAACCUCCACCAUUUCUCUUUUAUCCUGUGGCUACCUGAGGAAACAUCAGCACUCCAGCCUUUGCCAGUAAAGUUUCCUACACAUCUGGAGCUCCAUUUGCUGAUCUUCUGCUCCAGCAGGGUGAGGAGUCUGGUGCCUGUGCCUGAUCAGGAUCCACAAACGCAGGCUGUCCGUGCCAAGGCUUCUUUGGGACUCUGUGCUCAGAGUUGACCAGCCCAGAAGGCAGCAGCUGCUCUAAUGUAACUGGGAGAGAAGUCAGGAAGGGAGAGGUGUAUUUGGAGGUUGAUUUUAUCUUUGUAAAACUCAUUUCCUGAGACCAUUCUGAGGAGCUUUUGGUAUCUUUCUUGAUCUGGUGCCUACCUGCUGCUACCAUCUUCUUAAUUUGUUUUCUGGAUGGCAACAUCAGAGACAAAGGGACAGGCUGACUUUGUCCACGACAACUACGGGGCGGUUCUGGGAUGUGUGUUGUAGACACGUUA